rnacentral:misc_RNA from 1 species
AAGUCGUAACAAGGUUUCCGUAGGUGAACCUGCGGAAGGAUCAUUAAAAAUUGCAAGCCGGCGAAAGCCGCGCACCGCAAACCAAUGUGAAAACACCCGUUGCUUCGGCGGCACUCUUUCUUUCUUCACUGAAACAAAGGUGGUCAGCCCGCCAGAGGCCAAAACACAAACCAUUUCUGUAAACUGAAGUCAGCGAUUAUACAAAAAAUAAUUAAAA